rnacentral:rRNA from 1 species
CCCAGACUCCUACGGGAGGCAGCAGUGGGGGAUAUUGCACAAUGGGGGGAACCCUGAUGCAGCGACGCCGCGUGGGUGAAGGAGCGUUUCGGCGCGUAAAGCCCUAUCGGCAGGGAAGAAGGAGGACGGUACCUGACUAAGAAGCCCCGGCUAACUACGUGCCAGCAGCCGCGGUAAUACGUAGGGGGCAAGCGUUAUCCGGAUUUACUGGGUGUAAAGGGGGCGCAGACGGCAGCGCAAGCCAGGAGUGAAAGCCCGGGGCCCAACCCCGGGGCUGCUCUUGGAACUGCGCGGCUGGAGUGCAGGAGGGGCAGGCGGAAUUCCUGGUGUAGCGGUGAAAUGCGUAGAUAUCAGGAGGAACACCGGUGGCGAAGGCGGCCUGCUGGACUGCGACUGACGUUGAGGCCCGAAAGCGUGGGGAGCAAACAGGAUUAGAUACCCCAGUAC